rnacentral:misc_RNA from 1 species
CACAGACAAUGGCAAAAUUACAAUAACCAAGGGAAGGGAAAAGAAAGCAAAGAACUCUCAUAAUAAGUUGUAGACUCGAGACACCAAUGGACUAAAGGCACUGCAGUGCAUACUCUUGACAUGAUAUUACUCACUUUCCAAUUCCAACUUCCUUUUCAAGAAACAAAUGUACUCGUUUGUCAGGAUAUCACUAAUGCAAUUUUACAAGGCCACAAGGUGUAUACUUAUAGCAUUAUUACUCAUUUUCCAAUUCCAAGUUCCUUCUGGAUAUCUCUUGUCAGACUGAAUUGUAAAGUGUUAUGCCAUGGGAACAAGGUGCGAGUAACCGGGAGUUUCCUCCGCAAAUCCUUGAAAGUGGUAUCAGGCAGAUUCGAGUAGGAUUCCUCAAGAGAUGCUAGGUACUCUGCUUCAUGGUGGCGUAUAGUGUUGGUUAUGGACAAUGCACAAUCAUCUGGGGCCUGAAACAUUGUUUCAUCUCUGCAUUCAUUUUUGGCGUCCAACUGAACAUUUCCUUCUUCAAAAUAAUGGGCAUCAACCUGUAUCUUGCCUCUUAUUGCCAGCAUUUGCAUAUCAUCCUCGAACUCAAUGUUCCAUACUGAGCGCCAGCUUCCAUUGCAGAAAUUCUUUGGGCUAUUUUUAACAGCAGAAAUCACCACAACAAGCUCAAAAUUAGAUCCUGGUCCCUCCACAUCUUUUCCGUUAACACAGUACACAGAACAGAUUCCCUUUGGAUAAGCUUCACCAACAUAUUUUAGUAUUUCGGCAUCUAGAGUACACCGAAAGUCCUCUAUAUAAGGCGAUGGAAGUUCCUCAUCAGCUGCAGGUCUCACCUCUGUACAAACUUGCUUAACAUGGUUAACUGUAGCCACUUGGGCAGUUCUAGGAUCAAG